rnacentral:lncRNA from 1 species
GAGAGAUCUAACCACUGGUCAUCUGAAAAAGAAGAAAGCAUAAUACUGCCAUUCUACAUUCACAUAAGUCCUCUUAGGAGAGGAUCCUGCUAGCAAUAUGCAUACUGUCUCAUGAUGCUGGAUACACAGUGGCAGCAAGCUGCAGUUGGCAAUGUGAUCACAAAGGCAAUCAACCAAUACUGUACUCUAUAGUAUACUGUAUUCAAUAAAUUACAUGACAUAUUCAA